rnacentral:misc_RNA from 1 species
CGCAAAUGGCACUCUAUGGUAUUCCGUAGAGUACGUCUGUUUGAGCGUCGCGAACAUCUCCAUAAUUAGUUUUUUUUUAAAUUGAUUGUGGGUUUUGAGGUUGUCAUAUAAACAGUGACUCCCUUUAAAAUAAUUAGUGAUGACUUUAUGAAUGGGUUAAUACUGUGUGUUAUAAUGGAUUAUAUCCAUCACCAGUCAGAGAGUAAUCUCGCCUUAGUAAUUUGUAGUGAUUGCUUCUAACUGCCAAUUGGCAACAACCUGAUCAAAUCGACCUCAAAUCAGAUGGGAUUACCCGCUGAACUUAA